GUCAACCUACAAGUGCUGUGUGUUAUCAACCUACAAGUGCUGUGUGAUGUCAACCUACAAGUGCUGUGUGAUGUCCACUGUGUUUUCACAUUGUGGUCCUGUAACUGUAACUAUGAAAAUACAGUUGAAUUUCUUCUUAACAUGAUAUAGUAGCAUGUGUCCAUUGUUGAUGAUGUCACCAGUGCAGUGCAGUGAGCUUAGUAGGUUUCAGCCUGUUGUGUUCUCUCUCUCUGCUGCAUGGCUACCACUAGGAGAGACACGUGAGAGAGACAGACAUCCAGACAAUACAAAGAAAGGAGAGACCUGGAAGGGAAGUUCACUGUCACACUAUACAGAGAAAGGCUGCCACUACCACUGACCCUGAUGCUGAGCCUGCAGUGGGCCACAGGUCUACUGGUGCUAUCCCCAACCCCCCCACUCACACUGGACAAGCAG